rnacentral:rRNA from 1 species
CGCCCACUAGCUAGCUCACCCAACAGCAUAACAUUUAUAUAUAAAUAUACAAGUACCAACAAAUAAACAAACAAACCAUUUUUCCACUUUAGUAUAGGUGAUAGAAAAAGAAUUCGACGCAAUAGAGAAAGUACCGUAAGGGAACGCUGAAAGAGAAAUGAAACAACUCAGUAAAGCACAACAAAGCAGAGCUUACCCCUCGUACCUUUUGCAUCAUGUUUUAGCUAGAGCCCAUCAAGCAAAAAGCAUUGUAGUUUGACAACCCGAAACUAAGGGAGCUACUCCAAGACAGCCUAAUAAUAGGGCCAACCCGUCUCUGUGGCAAUAGAGUGGGAAGAGCUUUGAGUAGAGGUGACAGACCUAUCGAACUUAGUUAUAGCUGGUUACCUGAAAAUUGGAUAGAAGUUCAGCCUCUUGAGUUCCUCCCUCACCUUGAUAUUUUCUAAGUGAGACCCCAAGAAGUCAAGAGAGUUAGUCAAAGGGGGUCCAGCCCCUUUGAAAAAAGAAACAACUUUUCUGGGUGGAUAAAGAUCAAAUUCAUAAAGG